rnacentral:rRNA from 1 species
GUGCAUGGUUGUCGUCAGCUCGUGUCGUGAGAUGUUGGGUUAAGUCCCGCAACGAGCGCAACCCUUAUUGUUAGUUGCCAUCAUUAAGUUGGGCACUCUAGCGAGACUGCCGGUGACAAACCGGAGGAAGGUGGGGAUGACGUCAAAUCAUCAUGCCCCUUAUGACCUGGGCUACACACGUGCUACAAUGGACAGUACAAUGAGCAGCGACACGGCGACGUGAAGCGAAUCUCAUAAAGCUGUUCUCAGUUCGGAUUGUAGGCUGCAACUCGCCUACAUGAAGCCGGAAUCGCUAGUAAUCGCGGAUCAGCACGCCGCGGUGAAUACGUUCCCGGGCCUUGUACACACCGCCCGUCACACCACGAAAGUUUGUAACACCCGAAGUCGGUGAGGUAACCGCAAGGAGCCAACCGCCUAAGGUGGGAUAGAUGAUUGGGGUGAAGUCGUAACAAGGUAACCAAGGGCGAAUUCUG